CAAAGGCUUGGUCCUGGCUUUACUAUCAGCUUUAACCCAAUUUAUACAUGCAAGUCUCCGCGCCCCUGUGAGAAUGCCCUCAAUCCCCUGCCCGGGGACGAGGAGCAGGUAUCAGGCGCACUCAUUACCCCGCCCAAGACACCUUGCUAUGCCACACCCCCAAGGGAACUCAGCAGUAAUAGACAUUAAGCCAUAAGUGCAAACUUGACUUAGUCAGGGUUAUUAGGGCCGGUAAAAUUCGUGCCAGCCACCGCGGUUAUACGAAAGACCCUAGUUGCUAGCCACGGCGUAAAGGGUGGUUAAGGACAACAACAAAUAAAGCUAAAGACCCCCUGGGCCGUCAUACGCAUUUCGGGGGCACGAGACCCUAACACGAAAGUCGCUUUAAAAACACGCCUGACCCCACGAAAGCUAAGAAACAAACUGGGAUUAGAUACCCCACUAUGCUUAGCCCUAAACCCAGAUGUAUUCUUACACACACAUCCGCCCGGGUACUACGAGCACAGCUUAAAACCCAAAGGACUUGGCGGUGUCUCAGACCCACCUAGAGGAGCCUGUUCUAUAACCGAUAACCCCCGUUAAACCUCACCACUUCUUGUUUACCCCGCCUAUAUACCGCCGUCGUCAGCUUACCCUGUGAAGGCUUAACAGUAAGCAAAAUGGGCCCGCCCAAAAACGUCAGGUCGAGGUGUAGCGUACGAAGUGGGAAGAAAUGGGCUACAUUUUCUACACCUAGAAUAUUAAACGAAUGGCACCAUGAAAACAAUGCCUGAAGGUGGAUUUAGUAGUAAAAAGCAAAUAGAGUGUCCUUUUGAAUUAGGCUCUGAGACGCGCACACACCGCCCGUCACUCUCCCCCUGUAUAUUCACCCAACAUUUCUAAUACAUCAUAUAUCAAUACGGGGAGGCAAGUCGUAACAUGGUAAGUGUACCGGAAGGUGCACUUGGAACAAU
rnacentral:ncRNA from 1 species